ensembl:lncRNA
UGGGAGUGGGGGUGGGAGUGGGAAGAGUUUAAUCAAAGGGCCAGAAGACGCUGAAACAGCUGACAGGCACCCCAUCCUCUCCCAAAGGUGCCAGUAUCACUGGUCUGUGAUGCUCUAAGAGGCAAGCUUCCUGGUCGUCCAUAGUCUUUAGUGAUUUGCAGAAAGGAUUUCAACUCACCUCCCUGCCAGCUGGUGCCUGUGUAGCUGCCUGAAGCUGUGCUUGCUGGCUUACUCUGGAACUGUCCCUCAUGUAAGGAAGGAGUUCAGGAAGCUGGUCCAUUGUCCCUGACCAUUGUGACCCUUACCUCUCCUAGACUUCCUGAAUAUUUGACCCGACUACAACUACUAGCACAGACUCUAGGCACACAGGCUUAGGCGCUCCUUGGCAUGUGGG